GAGCGCACCAAUGACAUCGAGCUCCUCAAAACGGAGCAGGUGAAGCUGCAGGGGGUCAUCAGGUCCCUAGAGAAGGACAUCCAAGGACUCAAGAGAGAGAUCCAGGAGAGGGAUGAGACCAUUCAAGACAAGGAGAAGCGAAUUUAUGAUCUGAAGAAGAAGAACCAAGAGUUAGAGAAAUUCAAAUUUGUCCUUGACUACAAAAUAAAGGAACUGAAGAAGCAAAU
rnacentral:lncRNA from 1 species